rnacentral:rRNA from 1 species
CGUUCUUGGGAGUCGGAUUUAGCCAUGCUAGUUGCACGGGUUGAGACCCGUAGCAGAUAGCUCAGUAACACGUGGCCAAACUACCCUAUGGAUCCGAAUAACCUCGGGAAACUGAGGCUAAUUCGGAAUACGAUUCCCACGCUGGAACUGCGGGGAAUCCGAAACGUUACGGCGCCAUAGGAUGUGGCUGCGGCCGAUUAGGUAGACGGUGGGGUAACGGCCCACCGUGCCGAUAAUCGGUACGGGUUGUGAGAGCAAGAGCCCGGAGACGGUAUCUGAGACAAGAUACCGGGCCCUACGGGGCGCAGCAGGCGCGAAACCUUUACACUGCACGCGAGUGCGAUAAGGGGACUCCAAGUGCGAGGGCAUAUCGUCCUCGCUUUUCGCGACCGUAAGGUGGUCGCAGAAUAAGUGCUGGGCAAGACCGGUGCCAGCCGCCGCGGUAAUACCGGCAGCACGAGUGAUGACCGCUAUUAUUGGGCCUAAAGCGUCCGUAGCUGGCCGUGCAAGUCCAUCGGGAAAUCCGCGUGCUUAACGCGCGGGCGUCCGGUGGAAACUGUACGGCUUGGGACCGGAAGAUCCAGAGGGUACGUCCGGGGUAGGAGUGAAAUCCCGUAAUCCUGGACGGACCACCGGUGGCGAAAGCGCUCUGGAAAGACGGAUCCGACGGUGAGGGACGAAAGCUCGGGUCACGAACCGGAUUAGAUACCCGGGUAGUCCGAGCUGUAAACGAUGUCUGCUAGGUGUGGCACAGGCUACGAGCCUGUGCUGUGCCGUAGGGAAGCCGUGAAGCAGACCGCCUGGGAAGUACGUCCGCAAGGAUGAAACUUAAAGGAAUUGGCGGGGGAGCACUACAACCGGAGGAGCCUGCGGUUUAAUUGGACUCAACGCCGGACAUCUCACCAGCAUCGACAACGUGCCGUGAAAGGUCAGUGUGAUGAGCUUACUGGAGCCGUUGAGAGGAGGUGCAUGGGCCGCCGUCAGCUCGUACCGUGAGGCGUCCUGUUAAGUCAGCAACGAGCGAGACCCGCACUCCUAAUUGCCAGCAACACCCUUGGCGGUGGUUGGGUACAUUAGGAGGACUGCAGUGCAAACUGAGGAAAGGACGGCACGGUUAGGUCAGUAUGCCCGGAUGUGCUGGCGACCGCGGGCUACAUGCAGACAGUGGGAUGCACCCCGAAAGGGGGCCGCUUAUUCUCCGAACUUGUCGUA